CGUGUAGGCGUCUAGGCAAGUCAUGGGUGAAAUUCCGUAGCUCAACUACGGAGCUGCCUGCGAAACUGCUUGGAUAAGAGGAUAGAUGGAGAAAGUAGAAUUCCACGUGUAGCGGUGAAAUGCGUAGAUAUGUGGAGGAAUACCGGAGGCGAAGGCGACUUUCUAAUUUAUACCUGACGCUGAGGCGCGAAAGCAAGGGGAGCAAACA
rnacentral:rRNA from 1 species